rnacentral:SRP_RNA from 1 species
GCUGGGCAUGGUGACGCGUGCCUGUAAUCCCAGCUACUCAGGAGGCUGAGGCAGGAGAAUUGCCUGAACCCAGGAGGCGGAGGUUGCGGUGAGCCGAGAUCGUGCCAUUGCACUCCAGCCUGGGUAACUCCGUCUCAAAAAAAAAAAAAAAAAAAAAAGAAAAGGUUUUUGUUUGUUUAAGAUGGCGUCUCACUCUGUCCCCAGGCUGGAGUGCAAUGGCAUGAUCUUGGCUCACUGCAACCUCCACUUCCUGGGUUCAGGUGAUUCUCCUGCCUCAG